AAUCUUUUCAAUUUCUGAUCAGUCACAUGCCAGAGGCUCCAAUGAGUCAGCAGGGGUGUUUGAUCCCUUCCGAGAUGCCCUGCAAAUAUUCCGAAAUUCUGCUGCCCUCCGGGGAAUCUCUUGUUGCAGCGGAGCAGUGGUUUUUGGAGACUGGCGUCAGGCGUAGGAAUGAAACCAAUGAAUCAUACAAUGACACCGCACUCAAGGGGACGAUGUUGACUAUUAUGAAGGCACCAGGUUUUGUUCUGCCAAUUGCCGUCCUUCCACUCUCUCUAAUGUGUUGCAAUGAUUCUGGACCCACAGUACUACACAGUUCAAAUCUGCAAUGUCACACAGUAAUAUAAGGGAAAAAAAAUUAUUUGGUGUGAAUACAAAAGGCCUCACAGAUCCAAUUUCUUGAUGUGAAUUUUAUUAAACAAUGUAUAACCAC